rnacentral:rRNA from 1 species
GCUAACUCCGUGCCAGCAGCCGCGGUAAUACGGAGGGAGCUAGCGUUGUUCGGAAUUACUGGGCGUAAAGCGCGCGUAGGCGGCUUAUCAAGUCAGGGGUGAAAUCCCGGGGCUCAACCCCGGAACUGCCCUUGAAACUGGUUGGCUAGAAUCCUGGAGAGGCGAGUGGAAUUCCGAGUGUAGAGGUGAAAUUCGUAGAUAUUCGGAAGAACACCAGUGGCGAAGGCGACUCGCUGGACAGGUAUUGACGCUGAGGUGCGAGAGCGUGGGGAGCAAACAGGAUUAGAUACCCCUGUAGUC